UGUUAACAAGAAAUGUGUGGAGUGGUUGAAAAACGAGUUUUAAUGACUCCAACCUAAGUGCAUGUAAACUUCCGACUUCAACUAUAAAUGCAUUGUGUAAAGCUGUUGGCUGUGUUGGUUUUCUGUCUCAGGGUUUACUGAGGAUGAAGCUGCUUCCUAGGCUCCCUACAUCCUAGAGGGGAUCCGCCCGUCACCCAGGGUGGUCCAGGAUGUCCUCGGAGUCCUGAUCCGCAUUGUCAGACACUCCUCCUCAGCAGCCACUCAGGUAACAUCAACUACACCUCCCACAAUGCCCUCUGGCAUAUCUCCGCCUCUCUCUUGUUUUAUUAACUGUAAGCACCUUCACAUGAGUUACCAUUUGUAGUAUGAAUAGUAUCUGUACUGUCACUAUAGGUCUUGGACUGCCCUCGUUUGAAGGAGACUGUGUUGUCAGAGUUCCUGCCCUGCUCCUGGGCAGUGCCCACCUCCCCGACCCCCAGUCUGUAUGCGUGGCCAACGCCAUGAAGCUCCGACAAGUCCUGUACACCACUGGCAGACACGCCUGUGCCAGGCUGGUGAACUCUCUGGGUGUGCGGGAGCGUCUAUCUCGUCUGCUGGCCCCGGAGCCCAGUGAUCUGCAGCUGGAGCCAGGGGAGGCCCUGAGGGUCAGCUCUGCGUCCUACCGGCUGUGGGCUGUGGCAGCCAGCUACGACAGGCCUGCAACCUCUACAAGAGAGUAACUGGUCGUAACUGGGUUGACUGACAACGUCACGAAUAUGAUGCGUGUGCAUCGAUGUGGCCGGAAGGUGUGCGUUGAUGUCAUAUAUAUGCUAAUAUGGCUACAUUUCGCUAGCUAGCUAAUCAGAAACUGUAACAAUGUAUUUCAGAGACAAGUGCUCAUUGUCUAAAUGUAUUUGUUUUCAAUAAACAUUUGGAGACUAAAUAUAGUUGACAUGUUGUCAACAGUCUCAGCCAACCCUGUCUGCUUUGCCCCAUAGUUGUGCACGUGUCAGUUUUGUUGCUAAGCAACCAAGCGUCUAUGGGCUCAGUCAUAUCAUUGAAGACACCUGGUGGAUGGUAGGAAUGAAAUAAGCCAUCUGUACACGCCAUCUUACGUAUUCUCCCAUAUACAAUACCAAUAUCAGAUGUGUGUAAUCACAUGUUGUUAGAUUAUACAUGGCAAGAAAAGAUGUGUAAGCGAAAGGUUUCCUGUCAUGCCAAAUGCUCUUAGAAGCUUAGAAAAAUGAUUUUCUGAAAGAGUCCCUCAGAAUGAGUAGUACGGCAGAAACAUUCGCCCCUCUACCAUUUCCAGAGACCUGUACCCCAUCCUGGUGAAAAUGUUGCAGUCUACCCAGCAGCUCUGGCCCCCUUCGGAUCCCUUGCUGCCCCUGGAGCACCACAGGCCCUCCUCACUCUGCUCACACACUCUGCUCACACACGUCACACACACCGCCGGCUGCCAUCAGGAGCUGCAGGCUGGCCUGGUCAGGUAACACACACUCUGGCUUUCUGAUACUUUUUAACUGUAGCUUUCUGUAGUUCGUUGAUUUGUUGUUAUCCACUAGAUUCAACAGAGCCAAACCUCUACUUUCACUACAGUUCCCAGGGGGCUGAGUGUGUCCCCAGUGAUGUGGGGUCAUAUAACAGGUCUGCAGCUCAAGGUGCUGGGGCUGCUAAAGGGCUGUGUGAGGACCCUGGGGGACCAUGUCCAAAGGGAGAGCACCCUGAGACUGGUGCCGCCCUACCUGCUUUACAUUGGGUCCUUCUACUCCCAGCUCUCUAUCCAGGUGAAUGUACAAACUAUAGCGGUACUCAAGGAAAUUAGCGUUGUUGAAUCUAAAUAGUUUUAACAUCCUGUCCUCG
rnacentral:lncRNA from 8 species